rnacentral:misc_RNA from 1 species
CCACUAGACAGACACGGGGAAAGGGGCAACAAGAAACGCUCACACACCAAGAAAAAAAAAGAGCAACACGUAUGUAGCUCCUCUGCUGUGCUUCCGUCUCUCCACCCCCACAUGCACACAUAAGCACACUUUUUUUUGUUGCAUAUGUAUGCAGCAGACGGGGAGGAAAGCAGUUGCCUUCCUCAACAUAUAUAUAUAUAUAUUGCUAUGUUUUCUUUCUGCAGCAUCGUCGUCCUAGCGCGGUCGCACAGGCACACAGCGCUGCGACCUCUCUCUCUCAUAGCCUUCACCACUGUUCUCAAUCAAACUCUUGCCCUUCUCCUUGCCCACUCUUUGGCAUUCCUUUUCAACGGGUAAGUCUGCUAAAAUUGUUUUCUUCAUUGAGUCUAUGUGUGAUUGCGCGUGACGUGAUCAUCUGCAGCCUAGUACAUUACAGCGUUGACUUACCGUUGUAUAUAUAUAUAUAUAUACUUGUCCCUGUCUGCCUCUCUCUUCUUGUACCCAGAUGUCCAUCAUUUACGUGGAUGAGCUAGCCAUCCGGCUGCCGUCGGAUGUACGCAACACCUUCAACCCAUUGUGCGCUUUCGGCAGCAGCAGCAACAGUGGCGCCAACCCCCACAACAAUAACCGCUGUUCUGCGCCUGUGAUGGGGCUGCGGGAGGUGCAGUCCGGCCACGUGCUUCUGCCCAUUGACGCCGAGGGCUCAAUCGUUGUCACCCCUGGACAGCGGUACACCGUGGUUCUUGUUCGCGAGACCCGCGGCGGCACUGUGGCGUCAGCAGCUGCACCACCAGCCAGAGCAGAACUCUCAGCUGCAAGCAAUGGUCAUGAGAACAGCGCUGACAGUAACACCGACAGAAAGAUAAAGAGUGCGGCACCAGCGAAGCCUCACCAACCGCAUCAGCAGCAGCAGCCCGUUAAGAAGCCCGGCUUGCCGCGUGAGGCCUCUGCGGCAGAACCCCUAGCGCAACCAGCCAUGCCGCCUGCCCAGAAGGCGAACUUGUCCAAGAAGGAGCGCAAGGCGGCGCGCGAGUCGGCCGCAGAGGAGCACGUCUACGGGGGUGCGGCCCCGAGCGUUUCUACUGUAGCACAAACAGAGCAGCCCAGCAAGAAGCGGAAGCGCCAGGACGACGGCGCGGCACAGGCAGCGCAGCAGCAGCACCGGCAAAAAUCAUCCCCCACUUUGAAUGCAAGGGUCGAGUCGGCGGACACCGACGAUGCGCCGCUGAUGGCGGCGUACAGGAGCUCCCAGUCGCACACUUCCUCGCGUACCUCACCAGUGAUGGAGCCGUCAACAUCUGCUGAGAGCAGUCGCCACAACAGCAAGCGUGGCUCGCUCCGCAGCAAGACAGAGACAGUAGUGGCGCCGCCUCCGCCAACGCGCCGCAGUCUUAGCAGCAUCGACGGCUACGAUGACGAGGAAGGCGCGCAGCCGCUGGCGCAGUUGUACAGCGCCCAGUCCGCGGCAUCGCAGCCCCCAGUUCCUGAGCCGAAGCAUGCAGGGGAGGAGGAGACACGCAUAACCGCCACUUCCAAGAAGCGCCGCUCCCCCUCGGAAAAGACGACGAAGCCGACUUCUGCUAGUACUGCAGCACCGACAGCCGCUCCACGAGUCCCGUCCCCACCACAGCCAGCGACAUGCACCGCAGCGGAGCCAGCAACGAAGACGCUGCGCCAGAAGAGCGCCAGCCCAGACAGAGUUCCCGUGACGCUGCCGCCGUCGUCUCGGACGAGCACCGUCCGUCGCGUUCCGCUAGACACAUCAAGCGACUCGGAUUAGAGUACUGCCAUGAAGGGAAAAGAGCGCAAGCGUCGUGCUCUCUCCAUGGCAGCGCAAGAGCUACGCCACAUAUCGCCAUAUGAGGCACAUGGCACACGCGCAAGCACACGGAAAGCACCAAAUGUGCAUUUUGUGACGUGAUGAUGGCUGGCGGUGGCCUGCGUGCGUAUGGCGUGUACGUGCCGUUCGUAAACCGUGGUAUGGGGCCGUGCGAUUCACUCACGUAAAAGACUUGUAAGCGAUACAAAGCACACAGCUGUAAGUGAGAGUGAAGAUGCAUGCGUGAUCUGCAAGAGAUG